rnacentral:lncRNA from 1 species
UACAGAAUGAAGAGAUGAAGUUAAAAGGGAUGGAUUAAAGAUCGCACUGCCAACUAACCAUAGAACUGGAAACAGACCAUCUAGCUCACAAGAGAGUGGUGACCUUCUGAAACAUUAGCAGCAGGGGAGCACCAAUGACAUCGAAGGAAGAUUUAUCUGGUGGUGCUGUUGGAGACAGGCUGCAGCUAGGACACAUAAGAUCUGAUUUGAAAAAGUUGAUAGGAUGAAGGCCAAGAGUGAAGAAGCACUUGGGGGAUGUGAGAAGGAUGGUAUAGAAUCCCUGGGCCUCUCCAUGAACCUGGAGCUUGCCAAUUCCUGCUGGUCUAACCAGCCAUCUCUUCCCCAGGAAGAUCCAGUUUCUGACUCCAGGGUGUUGAAGAUGACAGGUGGCUGCCACUCCUGCAGAAUGAGUGUGGUUUCUGAAGAUCUGAACUCUAGCCUUCACAUUUGUGGAGCAAGAGCUUAACUAGCUACCCCUCUCCAUGGCCUUAAGAUGCUCAUUUAAGAAUAAAGACUCAAUGAAGAGGAGAGAAACCUGCCCUCUCUAAUCAUAAUGGGAGACCGCAGGAUUUAAACUACAAAACCAAAGCUAGCACAUUGCUGGGACCUGCUUACUCUAAAUGCAAGACAAAUAUACAGGAAGAAAGGUGACCUUACAAACCCAAGCCCAUAAUAAGAUCAUUGUACUUCUCUGAGGCCAGACCCUAUAUUUAUGCAAACUUUAGAGUGUAUCUGAAUAGGCCAAUUGCCUACUCUGUAGGAGAUCUGAAGGCACAGUGGUGGGGUGGAAUGGAGGCAUAAAGAAAACAUUAAAGAGGUAAAAAGUAAAAUUACUAUUUGAAGGUUUACCUUGGUUCAUAUCAUUUUGGGUGGCUGGCUAUGAAUUUCCUUGACCUUGGUGGGGUGGGUGUUCUAAGAAACCACUAGAAAUUGUGAAAUCUCAAACUUUGCAGUGAGCU